GGUAAUUUAGUUUAUAAUAAAACAAAUGUUUUGAAAACAUUAAUAAGACCUAAGUUUCUAAUUGCCU
rnacentral:tRNA from 1 species